ensembl:lncRNA
GUGACAGUAAAAGUGAAACAUCAACAUUUGUGGAGGUCAUUGUGACGUUGAUUCUUUAGAUGCACAUUCUAUAGAUCAAUUCACCAUUUAGAAGAACAUGAUUAAUCUCCACCCAUUAAUUCAGAAUGGAAUGAGUAUGGUCAUGCAUUUACAUUUUCAAAGUGUUAUUGAAACUCUAAACUCUAGUUUAACAGAACAGCUCUACUAUCCUUUUUAAAACUGUUCUGGACAGUGGGAUGAGUGGAGUGACACAGUUGAAUGUAGUGCAGGACGAAAAACACAUCAGGCCUAACACUUUCUAUGAAAUUUGGAUUUGUCAAAACAUUUUUAUUUAAUGGACCUACCCUCUUCCUCCUGUAUUGAGAUACUGUUUCACUCCUGCAAGUUGUGCAUCAGUAAGUUUCAUGUUAGAGAAUAGUUGGAAAUGGGAUUGUACAUGUGUAAUAAAAGAUUGUUAAUAUUCUAAAUGAAGGCAUUUAUAUUGUAAUAUUCAUUGUAAUAUUCAUGUUAUUUAUUAACCGUCGUGAACGUUUAUCUUGUAACCAAAAAGGCAAUAGAUACAUGAAUAUUAUAAUAUAAUAACUAUUACUGUCAUUUCAGAAGCUGACUUGAUUGCUUUAUGCACUGCCGUGUUUGUUCUUGCUUCGCGAUGUUAAAUAAAAAAUGUUAGCAAAUAAAAUUCAUAAUUUCUCAACGUUGAAUAUUUAUAUUGUUUGGUGUUCUCGUCUCUUUUUGUUUAGCAUAAAGACAAUAAGUAUGAUAGGGAAUUUAUCAUCGACGCCCUCCACGGAAAUGUCCAUUUGGCCGUCGUCUUUCAAAGCUUGUGCAGAAGGUGAUCGCAAAGAUUACAGUAUGAAUAUUGCGCCGAGUAAUAUGAAAAAAAAGCAGCUCGAGCAUAUUUUGCAUUUUUUGAAGAAAUGUACCGUUGAUGAUGUCACAUAUUUUUCUAAUUAAUUUCACAUUAGUUUGUUAAAACAAGAUGAAACCAAGACAUUAUCGACAGGAGAAAAAUAGGUCCCAGGUUGAUGACAGAGACGAUGUUAGCGCAUGUUCAAUGUCAGGGCUGGUUCAAUGUCGAGCAUCCCCACCCCCAAGUCACGUAGGAGAUGGUUCGUUUAUGGACCUCCCUCAGACCACUGCACCCCCACCCCACAGCCUCAGUAGUAAGAACCCCCUUUCUCAACCCACUCUCUCAGCCAAGACCAAGAUAUGUAUGCCGGUGCAAAAUACCUGGAAAGGAGAGCCUUAUGACAAGCCUUUGCUCAAAUACACAACAGCCCUCCCUAUUGGUAGGCGCCACUGUAGAUCUCAUCCAAUUCAACCACUCAUCCCCAACUCAUCUCCAAACCUGACUAAUAAAAGGGUGAAGUUCAAAAAUCCUGAGGCCACCCUACAUCUUAUUCCAGCAUGGCCAGAUUUAGAGCAGUUCACACAACAGACACCCACCUCUGGAGGUCAGUUGGUUAGACCACUAACGCGCAGACCACCAUCACGCAAGCAGCCCCAGUCUGCAGACCAGAGACAUCUGGAUGCUAUCUGCUCACACAGCUCCCUUACUACGGGGGAGGCUGUUGGAGGUGAGAAUAGUGGAGGGGGAGGAGAUAGGGGCUUCCUGUCCCGCUCUGUCAGAGAUCUGCUGUUGCUUACCUCCAGCUCCGAUGAUGACACAGACUUUGAGUCUCCUUCUGAGCCUCUGUUCCGAUGCCCCACCCCAGCCUACCUCACCCGCCGCUACCAGAACAGCUUAAAAUGGUACCAGGCCGUGCGAAGUGAGAAGAAGAUCGAACGUCACAAUAAAAUGCUUCAGCAGCUUUGUGACGAGGGGACAUCAGAUAGGCCUACUGCUGAAAAAGACCCCUCUGGUGUCCAGGCGAGACACUCUGCCCUUCAGGGUGCUGGGGAGGGGUCGACCAUCUGUAAACAGGGGGGGAAGAGGAAAAGGAGCCUGCUGUUGGGGAAAAGGGACCUCCCUCCCAGCCGGGUGAGGAGAUGGGACCGGCGGUCAUGGCGGAGAGAGCUAGACAGCAGCUCCUCGGACUCCCCCGCAUCUGAUUCCAUCAUCGUGCUCAGUUCCGCCUUCUUCCCCCCUGCUGCUACCAGCACUCCCCCUGACUCUUCUCCUCUUUCAAUGACACCUUGCAAUACCCUACUGCUUUCCCAUUCCUUAUCACUCAGUACGCCUUCCAGUUGCCCUAGCACCCCACUGUACCCUCACUCCUUCACCUCCAGUGCCCCUGGCACACCGUUACAAAGUGAUCUGACAUCCCCAGUACGCACCAAGUCAUUCUACUCCAGUGCCCCAUGCACCCCACAACAUGCGAUCCUUUGCAGGGACAGGAGCAACAUCUCAGGAAAUAGGACUACAUGUUGUGGGCUGGAGAGAUGUCCGACAGCAGCUAAAGAAACCAAUCCCCCUCUAGGUAUUUUCAAUAUUAAUGUGGACACAGUGAAGACAGAGGAUUCUGAGAUGAGUAGGAGCAAUGAAAUGAAGACUUCAAGACCAAACGAAAUGGGUGGGAAAGGUUCUCCUAUCAGAGCUAAGACUUUUGCACCGUCAGACACCAGUCCCAUUUUGAAAAAGGAAAAUAGUCCACAUGCUGACCGACCACUGCGGAAACCAAUGGAAACCUCAGCUGGUGCUUCUGCGCUUGAGGCAGACCAUGGGAUCCUCAUUCCAGGAAGGAAGCUAACACUCACCCCCAUCUUUUCCAACCCUUGUCAUGUACCAGAAACCAGAAAGAGAAGUCCACAUAAAAGCCCUAAGUCUCCUCAGGCAACCACAGCACAUCAAAAACCCAACUCCCCUCAAGAUACAAAAAGUUCUAAGAAAAUUCCUAAAACCAGUGAAUCACUUAAAUUAACACUUUUGUCAUCUGAGAAGCAGACAGACAAAACACAGUGUAAUUUUAUGGAACUACCAACACCUCAGAUUGUUGUCAGUACAGCUGGAAUUGCAGAGUCACAACAUGUUAUACCCACAAAGAAUAUAGAAUCCCAGAGUGCUGGAGGGAACCGGCCAUCCAACAAGACUUCACCUUCCUCUGACCCUCUUCUUAAAGGGAAAGAUUCUGCAAACACAGCUUCUCUGCAAAAGCCAAAGGAAGAUAGAGGAAGGAAUGAGAGACCUCCCUUCCCUGGCUUUAGAGACUUUAAGCAGGCAUUUAAAAGCCUUUUAGAGCAGAGGCCAGUGGUGGCUAAACCUCCCAGAAAAUCCAAUAUAGCUCUGAAUGACAUACAGGGGCAGUUUAAGACCCCCUCUCCCAAGACCUGUUCCCUCAAGACUUCCUCUCCAAAGACCAUCUCUUCUAAAACCUCCUCUCCCAAUACUUCCUAUCCCAUGAACUCCUCUAAUAAGACCACGUCUCAUAAAACCUCCUCUCCCAAGACUUCCUGUCUCUGGAAGCCUCAGAGUAGAGGUCUAUUCAGAACUUUCCAGGAUCCCAAGAUCCAAAUUCCCAUUCAGAAUCAGAGCCCUUCUAUCCGGCCCACCUCCAACAAUAACCCAGAAGAGAAGCCUCCAGCAUCAACCUCAGUUCUGGGCAGGAGUUCAGAGUUGAAAAUGAGACAAGCUUUCCAGCAACAGGAUACACCCAGGCCAAAGAGUUACCCCCCCAAGAGCAAACCAUUCGAGAUUUCCCCAGGCUAUAUAGGUACUCCUUUUCAGGGAAGUACCCCCAUCUCUAGGGGUCUAAAAACCUCACAUGGCUGUCCAUCGAGGACCAGGAGUUCUCAGAGUAAUGCCUCAUAUUCUGCCAGAGCACGUUGGGAAAGAGAGGACAGAGAGAGGGAGAGAUGGCAGAGGGAGCGGUCCCCCGCCUCACCUCGACAGCGUUACCAAGCAUGGGGCCCAGUUCCACAGCCAACAUGGGAGAGAAAUCCUAAAGAAGGCUUGACAAGAUCUGGGAAGGAAAAAACUUCUAAAAGACAAGAUGACUUAAAAAUGAAAGUCCAAACACCACUUUCUCAAAAAAAAACCACCACUCACAAGAGUUGUCCAAAUGUACCCUCACCGUGCCAGUAUCCGCCACCGGCCAGAAAUGGCUCAGAUUCACGCUCCAAAAACACCAACGGCACCCGCUUACCCACGGCCCACACUAAAUCUAAAGUACCAGGAGAGAGGACAUACAGUCAGCACAUCAGACUCCCCUCUGUCCCACAGCAGUUCCCUCACCAGUCGCUCCACCCCAGAUCCGGCCCCAGCAGUCCAGAGAUUAUCCAUGCCAUUGUGAGUGUGAUCGGGUAUCUGCUUGGUGUUCCACCCACCUCCAUCCCCGGCUUCUGCCCUUCACUUGAAGACCCCAGUGCCUCGUCCACCCCUGACCCAUCUGCUUUUCAUUUGGAACCCAGCCAGCACCCCUUGAUUGAAGAGCUACGACUCCUCAGGCAAAGACUCAGUAAGACUGGGCCAGAGGUCAGCACUCAGCCAACACCCAACGCCCAUCACACCAAGCCGUCUUACAGACCACAGGACAGAUGA